AUUGAACGCUGGCGGCAUGCCUUACACAUGCAAGUCGAACGGUAACAGGUCCUCGGAUGCUGACGAGUGGCGAACGGGUGAGUAAUACAUCGGAACGUGCCUAGUAGUGGGGGAUAACUACUCGAAAGAGUGGCUAAUACCGCACGAGAUCUACGGAUGAAAGCAGGGGAUCGCAAGACCUUGUGCUACUAGAGCGGCCGAUGGCAGAUUAGGUAGUUGGUGGGAUAAAAGCUUACCAAGCCGACGAUCUGUAGCUGGUCUGAGAGGACGAUCAGCCACACUGGGACUGAGACACGGCCCAGACUCCUACGGGAGGCAGCAGUGGGGAAUUUUGGACAAGGGGCGCAAGCCUGAUCCAGCAAUGCCGCGUGCAGGAUGAAGGCCUUCGGGUUGUAAACUGCUUUUGUACGGAACGAAAAGCCCUGGGUUAAUACCCUGGGGUCAUGACGGUACCGUAAGAAUAAGCACCGGCUAACUACGUGCCAGCCGCCGCCGUAAUAC
rnacentral:rRNA from 1 species